rnacentral:rRNA from 1 species
GACGAACGCUGGCGGCGUGCUUAACACAUGCAAGUCGAACGGAGUGGCGAACGGGUGAGUAACACGUGGGUGACCUGCCCUGCACUUCGGGAUAAGCCUGGGAAACUGGGUCUAAUACCGGAUAUGGUGGGAUGGGCCCGCGGCCUAUUGGCUGGUUGGUGGGGUAAUGGCCUACCACGGCGGCGACGGGUAGCCGGCCUGGGAGGGUGGACGGCCACAUUGGGGCUGAGACACGGCCCAGGCUCGUACGGGAGGCAGGAGUGGGGAAUAUUGCACAAUGGGGGGAAGCCUGAUGCAGGGGCGCCGGGUGGGGGAUGACGGCCUUCGGGUUGUAAACUCCUUUCACCAUCGACGCGGUAGAUGGAGAAGAAGCACCGGCUAACUACGUGCCAGCAGCCGCGGUAAUAC